rnacentral:lncRNA from 1 species
UUGUUUCUCCCAUCAGUCGUUAUUCACCAGUUGACCCGAUCGGUUCAACCAAAAAAAUAAAAAUUUUUGUUAGACGUGGAGAACAUAGUCAUAAAGAUCCCAGCUCCACUUUCUCGGACAUUGUGCAAACUAAUUUUACUGCUAGAAAAACCUCUUUAAAACCUUUUAAUACAAUGACAUAUAGACUGUGAAGAUACAUAGUUUCUUAAUCUUUUUAAUUAAUGACCUUCAACUUGUAACUCCUACACGUUAAACAACCAGAGGAGCCGACAUUGACUACCGUUAUUCAAAGAACAUUGUCUCCACAAAUUGUAAAUUAUGAAUUCGACUGUAUCUUAGUCCGCUUACUAUAAAAAGUUAAAUAAAUAAAUCGUUCUGAGGAGGGCCCAUAUCCGGGCCAAAGUAACAGGUCGUCAAUUUUAAACGUAUACAUUCGUCGAUAUCAUUUGCUCGUAAGUUAAACAUACGUAUGUACAUAUCAGCCGGGUAAUUUUAUUUACAUGGAAAAUGUGAGGGAUUGGAAUGGAAAAAUAAUAUUUUCUUCGACACAAAAACAAGUAUGCAAAUGAAAGUAAAUAAGACGUAAUAACCAAUGUUAUACUGAAUCUGAAAUUUAUUGAGGAACGAACGCAUCGCAAUUUCAUAUUCCUUUUGGACGAAUGAAAAUUUUGACAUGCAUUUUUUUUUUCUUUAUACAUAUAAUAUAGGUAAGGUUCGUGUUUCAACGUAAAUAAUUAUCAACAAAUAAAAAUCGGUACAUCGUUUUUGGAAAAUAUACAACACGAACCUACCUUUACAAUUUCAGAAAUGAAUACAUUAUACUGUAGAAAAAAAAACAUUUAAUUUUAUAGGACGGCUUUUUUGUCCCUGACAGAUCUAAAAGAGAACAAGCCUGGAGUUUCCUCAGGAGUGAAAAUAACUAUAAAAUGCAUGUAGACGUAUUUAUAAUGCUAUGUAAGUGAUGAUCAUACAUCAAAUGGACUGGUAAAAAUCUUUUAAAUUACUACGGAAAAGUUUAAAUACGAGUUGCAGCCCGUAAAACAAAUAAAACAGAAGUUAGAAAACAAAAAGAAAAAAAAAUAGUAAUUAAAAAUUAAAGAAAAUCUUUCUCCAAAAGUGAAUAAAUAAAAAUUGUUCAGGAUAUAGUUUAAAAUAAACUCCAUUUUAAGAACGGAGUUUUUUUUUAACUCUUAUUAUUAGAUAUCAAUCAUAUGCUUUACAGUUUACAUUCAUAAUAAUUGUAUCACAGACUGCAACUCAUAAUUGCGAUGCUAAGUUUGACGAAAUUAAAUUUUUAGUGUGACAAAGACAAAGUUUGUAUCGAUUUUUUUCGGUGUAAAGUUUUCAAAGUAAAGAACAGAGGUUGAACAACAUAUUUCAACACACGAUACAAACCUGUUGUGUGAUAUUACAUUUUUUUUGUUUUUCAUUUUUUUUUUUCAAAAAUUUAUCAGCGCCUUUUUGAACUUGUGCAAUGAAAAUCUAUGAAUUGACAUUGCAGAAACUGAUUUUCAAAUUAUUUCAAAAAGUAAUUGCAGUUUCUUGAAUUUGAAUUUUUUUUACCUUCUCAACUUAGAUUUGGUACUAAGCGUGGCGCAUAUAAUCUAAUCUGUUGCUCGGUUUGUGUGCUACAUAUCUUUUCUAAAUUUAUAAGGUUAGGAUUUUCUAGUUAAAGACUAAUUAAGAUAUAAGUAAUAAGACUGACUUUGCUUUUCAAUACAGAAUAUUAAUCAGCAACCAGCCCUGUUAAUAUAAUUUCAUGUAGAUUGCAUAGCUUUCACAGACCAAAAUUGCUUGAAUGUUGAAUACAGAAGUGUUAAACGGGACACGUUGUUCUCAUGUUUAUUUCUUAUUCUGUGGAAUUUUUUUUACGCAAAUGUUCGAGCAACAGAUUGUGGAAACUCGAAGGAUCAGUAAUGCUUCGGACUUGUACACCAUAAUAAAAUUGUUUUUUUACCACUUUCCAGUAAAUGUUAAAUAUUUCCGCAUGACACGUCAGAGAUAACAAUUUAAAUGAAAAAUGUCAUGGACGGCAGAAAAACAUUUAUAGUCCAAGCGAAAACGAUUGUUUGAGUUCCACGUUUCUUUGUUUUUAAUUUUUAAUUUGUUUAUCAUUCAUCGGGGAGGGGAAAGGGAAAGGGGAAGGGAGGUAGGGGUAAUUUAAGAACUACUGUAGAAGAGAUCUUCAUCUUUUGCGCGUAACAAAUUUAAGUAUGGUAGACGAAUUUCUGCCACACUAUUUUAGGAAAUUCUCUGUUUCUACCAGUAAGGAAUCGAAUUUUUAUACGAAAAAAUUUCUUGUCAAACAUCAUACUCGAAACAAAUUUAUAACCAUAAAAAUAUAAUACAUGACAAAUUCAUGAUAUACAGUGACAAAGCUUGCGAAAAUUCGUAGAAAUUUAUGUACUUCGACAAUA